UCACACUCUAUACAGAAGAAUUGGGAGGUACAAGCAUUUCACGGUUCCAUAUCCAUCACAGUCCACUCAAAUCAGCCAUCAGGAUUCCAAAGGUUCAUUCAGAAGCUGAGCCCUUUCUGGGCAAAACGAGAUGGCUUUAUCCAGGAGUUUUGGAAACAGGCAUUCGACUGUUUAUUAAAAAUGUCUGAAGAGUCAGAGGAGGGAAAUGAAAAUGACAUCAUCUACACUGGGGAGGAGAAGCUGGAGAGCCUUCCUGGCAUUCUGUUUGAAAUGGACAUGACUGGCCACAGCUACAAUGUCUACAAUGCUGUCUAUGCUGUGGCGCAUGCUUUGAACGCCAUCUACAAAUCCAUAUUCAAACAUAGGGGAUUGGAAGAAAGGGUCAGACUGACAUUUCACAGUGUGCAAUCAUGGCAGGUAAUUAGAAAGCAAUACUUUAAAAUUAUAGAGUUCUAGAAUUGUAGAGAUGGAAGGGGUCCUCAGGGUCAUCUUGCAGGGUAACCCUCAGGGUCCCUUCCAACUAUACAAAUAUAUGAUUCUAUGAUUGAUCGAUUGAUUGAUUGAUUGAUUGAUUGAUUGAUUGAUUGAUAUUCACAAGUGGCCACCUACAUAAACCAGAUGACAACUAUAAGGACAACUUUGGGAAGUUCACUAAAGUAAUCUUAGCACUAUGUUGUCUCGUUAUUCAGUGCUCUUUCAAUCGAGGUUCAUCAUUAUCUGAGGAGCAUCAUAUUCAAUAAUUAAAUGUGAUUGUUCUCUGGCAGCUCUGAUGAGAUAUUUAACUUUAGAUCACAUGGGAGGCGAUUGAAUUGAAAAUUUGCCAUCUUGAAAGGGUGGUGGCUUGAGUCUUUGUUCCCAGGCUCUGUGUGGGUAAAGGUGUGUAAAACGGUCUCCUGGAGGGAGAGCAAACAGCUGCAGGCAAAAUGGAGGCUGUAAGAAGAGAGAGAGAUCUUUGCUUAUACAGUGGUACCUCGUGUUAUGGACGGGAUCCGUUCCUGAGGCCUGUCCGUAACGCAAAAUGCCCACAACUCGAAGCGCUGCAUCUGCGCAGGUGCAUGACUCGAUUUAGUGCUUCUGCACAUGUACAAGUGGCGAAACCCAGAAGUAACCCAUUCUGGUAUUUCCGGGUUGCUGUGGGACGCAACGUGAAGCGGAUGCAACACAAGGUAUGAGUGUAGGUCAGUUUGGAAUUAUUUUUAAUUUCUUAUAAGAUUCUGAGUCUGUGGGGAUAGGCACCGGAUUGAGGCGUUCACAAAGUAAAGGAAGGACUGAACACUCAUUAAGAAGAAUACACACAGAGGCUUAAACCAGAAAGACUCUGGGAAGGGUGCGUAUAAUUGUCUCUCUGUGCCUGUCUGUGUGCAGCCCCCGGCCCAGGCCGUUUUAUUCACAAAAGAACUUUUUACAGAGUGUUCAUAAGAACCAAUCAGAUUUCCUCUGAGCAUUUAAACAAACCUCAAGUGGGGACAAAGUUAAACUAUAAACACUACUUAGGCAUACAUACUUUUGGGUAAAUGAAUGAAUACUACGAAGGAGCGAAUACAGCAACCCCGGAGGUCAUAAACAAUCAGUACACAUGAUAAGAAGGAUGGCCAGGAGGACAGUGACCAUUAUCACCUUAAUGUGAAACCUGUUUCCCGGCCCUAAGAUUAACAUCCUAAGAUUAAUAUAUAAGAAAAGCUACAUCGACGAAACUGCCCAUUAUCUUUGAGGACCCAGGAUGCCUGCCUAAGUGUGUACGUGACUUGUGAAGAGAGAGAAAUGGACAGUAGAGGAAAAAGGCAUGAAAAGGGCAUGAAUGUAGAAUAUUAUGGGAUUUAAUCAGAAAUUGUCAUCAAUAUAUCAAACCCAGUCAACACAAUGCGUUCAUCGUGUACACGAUGGCUUGAUGUAUAUUUUAUAAUUCCUCAUGGUAAUCCCAUCUGAUCCCUACACCGGAUAUGGAAUUAUUGGGAUGUAUAUUUCCCGUUGCUUCAAGCUGCACAAUAUAAUAUCUGCAAUGCACCUUACAUGGUUCUUUUAGGAAUUGGGCCAAAUGGUUCAUCUUCCCAACUUAAUUCUCUUUGUAGAGCUGAAUGAAUGAAGAGCACUAAUCCAAGUCCCUUUACAUUAUUCUGUGCAGGUGCUGCCCCUUUCUGUGUGCAGUGAGAACUGCCAUCCUGGCUACAGCAGGAAAAAGAAGGAAGGAGAGAAAUUUUGCUGUUAUGACUGUGCUCCAUGUCCAGAAGGAAUGAUAUCUGGCUGGAAGGGUAGGCAACAAUUGUGUAUUGUGAUAUCAUUCAUCUUCUGUAACAUAUCGUAUUUGCUUUGAGAAUUCACAUCCCUUGAACAUACAAACCAAACACAAGACCCCUCUUCCUUGUGUUAUUUCCAGGAGCUGGUAUUCAGAUGCAUAUUGCCUCAUUGAUAGCCCUAUUCUGUAUUAAUUUGUCCAAUCCUCUUUUAAAGCCAUCCAAGUUGAUGACCAGGUGCUCUUGGAGGAAACUGAUUUUCUACAUUGAUUUCAAUCAGAGUUUAUAUCAAAAAUAUCAAAAACCAUCAUCAACAGCAAAC
rnacentral:lncRNA from 1 species